UUGUCCUGGCCUAUGCUUUUUCUUCUUCCUGGUGCUCAGUUCUGACUGGGGAGUCUGGCAGGACACACAGCAAUCUCCCUCUCAGUUUAGGAGGGCUGUCCUAAGAAUAGGGCUGGCUCUUAAAGGCACGAGAGGACAAU
ensembl:scaRNA